rnacentral:rRNA from 1 species
GAAGGGAAACCGGAACGAGCCUUCGGGCAGCGUAGACAGGUGCUGCAUGGCUGUCGUCAGCUCGUGUCGUGAGAUGUUGGUUAAGUCCCGCAACGAGCGCAACCCGUGUUGCUAGUUACAAGUGUCUAGCGAGACUGCCGGUAACAAGCCGGAGGAAGGUGCGGAUGAUGUCAAGUCAGCAUGGCCUAUAUGUCCAGGGCUACACACACGCUACAAUGGCUGGUACAAAGAGAAGCGAAAGGGAGACCUGAAGCGAAUCUCAUCAAAGCCAGUCAUAGUUCGGAUUGCAGGCUGCAACUCGCCUGCAUGAAGUCGGAGUUGCUAGUAACCGCAGGUCAGCAAUACUGCGGUGAAUACGUUCCCGGGCCUUGUACACAC